GAGAUGAUAGGAUGGAAGAGAGCGAAGGUUGCGACGGCGCAAUACCAUCUGAGUAGGGAAAGAGUGAGUAGUGUUGGAGGAGAGCUAGAGGGAAAAGGAUACAAGGUAGUGGUCGGAGACUUGGAGGGGAGUUGCAGUGAGAUUAGUAGAAGAACAGUAUCUAGUAAAGAUGAGGUCAAGCGUAUUGCCUACCUUGUGAGUAGGGGGGGAUGGUGAGAGGGUGAGGUCAAAAGAGGAGAGGAGUGGAAAGAAGGAGGCAGAGAGAAAUGAGUCAAAGGUAGGGAGGUUAAAGUCACCCAGAAUUGUGAGGGGUGAGCCAUCCUCAGGAAAGGAACUUAUCAAGGCGUCAAGCUCAUUGAUGAACUCUCCAAGGGAACCUGGAGGGCGAUAAAUGAUAAGGAUGUUAAGCUUGAAUGGGCUAGUGACUGUGACAGCAUGGAAUUCAAAGGAGGAGAUAGACAGAUGGGUCAGGGGAGAAAGAGAGAAUGUCCACUUGGGAGAGAUGAGGAUUCCAGUGCCACCACCCCGCUGACCAGAUGCUCUCGGAGUAUGCGAGAACAUGUGGUCAGACGAGGAGAGAGCAGUAGGAGUAGCAGUGUUUUCUGUGGUAAUCCAUGUUUCCGUCAGCGCCAAGAAGUCGAAGGACUGGAGGGUAGCAUAGGCUGAGAUGAAAUCUGCCUUGUUGGCCGCAGACCGGCAGUUCCAGAGGCUGCCGGAGACCUGGAAUUCCACGUGGGUCGUGCGCGCUGGGACCAUCAGGUUAGAGUGGCAGCGGCCAUGCUGUGUGAAGCGUUUGUGUGGCCUGUGCAGAGAGGAGAGAACAGGGAUAGACACAUAGUUGACAGGCUACAGGAGAGGCUACGCUAAUGCAAAGGAGAUUGGAAUGAAAAUUAACGAAACAACUGGGGAAGCGAGAGAGCAGGGCCUCCCUCACUAACCAUUCACUGAAACACUCAAAUAUAACUUUUCCAACUUCCACUUUAGAAAUUUUAAUUGAUGUAAACUACAGUGGUUCAAUGUUUACAGGAAUAGGCUCAAACUUAGUUUAUUCAGCUAGAUAACUUGGUACAAUAUUCUUCCGUGAAACUCACCCAGUGCACCGUAUCCUAUGACGCCGUAGCUAACUAGCAUGCUAGCAUCCAAUAACACACGGUUAGCACCAAUACUUGGUUACAACAAACUACCAAUGGAUCAUUCGUGUCCGUGUCUAGUUCCUUUCAUAACGCAGAAGUAAUUAAACGUUGAAUAGCUAACACAAGUUCAGUCGUGCUAGCUACACAAGUGGACUACACAACUCGAAAGUUCAGAAAGUUAAGCUUACGUUGCAAAAAUCUUAUUGACUAAAAAUGAUACAGUACUGCUAGCUGGUAGAGUUGGCUAGCUAGCAGUGGCUGCGUUUACCUUUAUCUUUUAUCUUUGAUACAGAGACAACUAUGUAGCUAGCUAACAUUACACUAAUCAAAACGUUCCGUUGUUGGCAAUCACAGAGGUCAGACGUUUCUUGUAGUUGGCCACCAGGUUUGCACACAUCUCAGGAGGGAUUUUGUCCCACUCCUCUGUGCAGAUCUUCUCCAAGUCAUCAAGGUUGAGGCUGACGUUUGGCAACUCGAACCUUCAGCUCCCUCCACAGAUAUUCUAUGGGAUUAAGGUCUGGAGACUGGCUAGGCCACUCCAGGACCUUAAUGUGCUUCUUCUUGAGCUACUCCUUUGUUGCCUUGGUCGUGUGUUUUGGGUCGUUGUCAUGCUGGAAUACCCAUCCACGACCCAUUUUCAAUGCCCUGGCUGAGGGAAGGAGGUUCGCACCCAAGAUUUGAUGGUACAUGGCCCCGUCCAUCGUCCCUUUGAUGCGGUGAAGUUGUCCUGUCCCCUUAGCAGAAAAACACCCCCAAAGCAUAAUGUUUCCACCUCCAUGUUUGACGGUGGAGAUGGUGUUCUUGGGGUCAUAGCCAGCAUUCCUCCUCCUCCAAACACGGCGAGUUGAGUUGAUGACAAAGAGCUCCAUUUUGGUCUCAUCUGACCAGUUGUUCUCUGAAUCAUUCAGAUGUUCAUUGGCAAACUUUAGACGGGCAUGUAUAUGUAUUCUUGAGCAGGGGGACCUUGCGGGCGCUGCAGGAUUUCAGUCCUUCACGGCGUAGUGUGUUACCAAUUGUUUUCUUGGUGACAAUAGUCCCAGCUGCCUUGAGAUCAUUGACAAGAUCCUCCCGUGUAGUUCUGGGCUGAUUCCUCACCGUUCUCAUGAUCAUUGCAACCCCACGAGGUGAGAUCUUGCAUGGAGCCCCAGGCCGAGGGAUAUUGACAGUUCUUUUGUGUUUCUUCCAUUUGCGAAUAAUCGCACGAAAUGUUGUCAUCUUCUCACCAAGCUGCUUGGCAAUGGUCUUGUAGCCCAUUCCAGCCUUGUGUAGGUCUACAAUCUUGUCCCUGACAUCCUUGGAGAGCUCUUUGGUCUUGGCCAUGGUGGAGAGUUUGGAAUCUGAUUGAUUGAUUGCUUCUGUGGACAUGUGUCUUUUUUACAGGUAACAAGCUGAGGUUUGGAGCACUCCCUUUAAGAGUGUGCUCCUAAUCUCAGCUCGUUACCUGUAUAAAAGACACCUGGGAGCCAGAAAUCUUUCUGAUUUGAGAGGGGGUCAACUACUUAUUUCCCUCAUUAAAAUGCAAAUCAAUUUAUAACAUUUUUGCCAUGCGUUUUUCUGGAUAUUUUUGUUGUUAUUCUGUCUCUCACUGUUCAAAUAAACCUACCAUUAAAAUUAUAGACUGAUCCUUUUUUUAUCAGUGGGCAAACAUACAAAAUCAGCAGGGUAUCAAAUACUUUUUCCCCCCACUGUAGUUUCUGUCAGACGAUAGUUAUGAGCACUUGUUACGUCAAUUUCUUUCUCAGUUUGUGCUAGGACAAAUGUAGCCUGCAUUUUCCAAGUUGGAUGAUUGUGUUAUGCUGUAGCUACUUCUGUGAAUGUCUGAACAUUGCAUCCAAAAAUAAACUGGUCACAUUCUGGACAUAACUUUGUAAGGACUGUCUUUGUGCAAAAUGUUUCUGUGAAAAAAGUGUGGCCAGCUCAAAUGCUGAUUGUUGCAUCAACCGAAAGUUGACGUUCUAACCACACCGGUUUGAGCGUAAGCUGCAGGGACCACUGUAGAAUAAUCACACCAGUUUGUUGGUAUGUGUGAAAAGGUCAAGGCAUGAAGGUCAGUAAAUGCGGAAAAUGUCAAGAAUUUUGCAAGUUUCUUCAAGUGCAGUCGCAAAAACCAGUGCAGUCCCAAAAACCAGCUAUGAUGAAACUGGCUCUCAUGAGGACUGCCACAGGAAAGGAACACCCAGAAUUACCUCUGUUGCAGAGGAUAUGGUCAUUAGAGUUAACUGCACCUCAGAUUGCAGCCCAAAUCAAUGCUUCACAGAGUGCAAGUAACAGACACAUCUUGAAAGGACAACAGGUGCAGGCACUUACCUGAAAAAUAUAAAGAUCUCUUCAAUAUCAGAAAAUGGACACGAUUCAACAGAUAUCAACGGACAGCCGUUACAAUAGACAUCCUGGUUGAGAAUGAAACGACUGAACAAAUGAACAACGAAACAGCACAGCAAGUAUACAGACAAGGAGGCAUAUACCUACACCUCUGAUGAAUAUAACAGGAAACCUGCUCGAUCACCAUUCGCUACAAAAUCAUUCUGGCUAUGGAUACGGAGAACAUCAACACGCCAGAGGAUAUAUCCAUUGGACUUGGGGCUCUGCUGGGAGUUUACCUCAUAUUUUGAUUUUUUUUUUUAUUCUGCUUUGCUACUAAAAUCAUAACAAACACUAAGAACUAAAAGAUUGUGUUAUUAUUAUGCAUAUUAUUAUGAAUAAUAAUAACUGGGCUGGUGGGGUAUUUAAAACAUUACUCAAAUGUUCUUCAAAAGGUUCUUUGAGGAUCCAUUAAAAAGGGUUCUUUGAAUAACUUUUUUAAAGGGUUCUUCAAAGAACUUAUAGGGGUUCCCCAACAGUUUCAAUUUGAAGAAUGCCUAAAGGAUACUCCAGGAACCUUUUCUUGUAGGCAAACUGAAAUCUUAUGAGAAAUAUGUUUGAUUGUUUUCACAGCUUUUUAUUUCUUUAAAACCAGUCAAAUGGUUGUUUGGAACUUUUUUUCUCCACCCACUGUGAAAACAUUGUUCCGCUGUCUCUGUGAAUGGGCAUGAGUUAACCCUGCAAUUUUUGUAAAUGUGUAAUUGGUGCUACUGUUGAUUAAUUGCAUUUUGACAUAGGCCUACGCGCCUGUUGAAGGGAUUGAAUUAGGCUAAUUUAUUCAUGUUAGACAGGGUUCUUGUUUUGUCUUUCAAUUAUUUUUUGUAAAAAAUGUACAGUGUUUAUUAUUAUAACACUUAACUUACCUGUUUACUUAGCCUAAAACCAGAGAGGAAGAGGCGAUUUAAAUUACACAAGCUUCCCCAGGCCUUUAUAACCUAUCGUCAAGUUAUAACAAGGCAAAGAAUAUGCUUAUCAGCGAAGAGUGGGCAUCAUUCCAGGGGAGCUGUCAUGGCUGCGCACAGCAGAAAUGUCACUGAAAUAUUCUAGUUUAUGCACAUGUAUUCAAAUAAAAUAUGCCUUGUUAUAAGUUGAUAAGCAAAUGGGCAGCAUCAUGCACAUGCCAGUCCUCUCUAGAAUACACAUGUUGUCACGUCCUGACCAGUAAAGGGGUCAUUUGUCAUUUUAGUAUGGUCAGGGCGUGGUAGGUGGUGUUGUUUUGGGGUUGGUUUGUUUAGAGGGGAUUGGUUCUAGUUUUCAUUUUCUAUGUUUAUUUUCUGUGUGGCCGAGUAUGGUUUCCAAUCAGAGGCAGGUGUCUUUCGUUGUCUCUGAUUGGAAGCCAUACUUAGGCAGCCCUUUUUUCCUUUGGGUUUGUGGGUGGUUGUUUUUUGUAUUAGUCUGUUACCUUACGGAACUGUGUCGUUUUGUUAUUUUUUGUUUAAGUGUUCACGUUACUCUAAUAAACAAAGAUAAG
rnacentral:lncRNA from 1 species